AAGUGUUUGCUUUACCUUUUAAGUAAUCCAUCUAGGAAACAGCUAGUUUGUUCCUUAGUAAAGUAAUUUCCUGUGCCUCUGACUUUUAUCAGGCCUUUUGUUACUUAAGAAAGCUGGUUUCCUCCAUUAAAAGUUCAGGCCUUUUCUGACACCCGUGUGACUUUCUGUGCUUGGUUUUAAAGUCUUUGGGUCGCCAGUUAGGUGUGUGUUGUUUCAUAGGGACCUGUGAUCCUAUUGAAUAAGUUUUAUUUCAAGCCUUUUGGCACUUUUGACAACUUUCAAAGUUCUAAGCAAAGUGCUUUAGCGCUGAGCUGAUUUGGGUGUGUUGUGGCGACGUGGCCUCGACAGCAUCUUAGAAGAAUGUUUCUUCGUCUUUAGACAUGCUAAGCAAGAAAGACUUACCUGGAAGCUGAAUUUUCAUGGAAGCUGAAUUUUCAUGGAAACACUGUCAAACCAUAAAAUCAUGAAAGAGCCACGGGUGCUGUGACAGUGGAACAGGAUGGAGGAGUACAAGGCACACGGGAGGCACGCAUCUGCAGAGAAAGGACAAAAGUAGCUGGAGUUCUAAAUUAAGAAAAUGGCCAGCACUGGAAAUAAAGAAGCCGGGUGGGGUCGUCACAUGGCCGUGGAAGCAGAGAUGGAGAACUUUUGUUUUGUGUCCAAGCACUUCCGUGUCAGAGAUGAACGAGCGGAAUUCCCAGCCAUGCAGACGUGAGAACAGUUUGGGUUUCAAUUAGAGCUACUUGGGAGCGGUGAUGUGUACAACGCUGGCUUCUUUUCCACUUGGCGCGGAGGGCUUCUAAUCAGGCCAGUUUGUCUUGUAAAUAUUUUUACGUUGAGUACAAAAAUUGCGUUGAAUGCCACUAGGCACCGACUUGAAGAGACGUGUGAAAAUAUUAAAGAUGUACCACUAAUUCUGCAUCUUUUUUGCCUACUGUAAAGGGUUAUGUGUUAUGGCCAUAGCAGCUGCCAAAUUAUUUUUAGAUGAUCUAAAAGCAGAGGGUGAUUUAAACAUCUGUCUUAAAAACAAUGUCAUAAGUUUUUCCUUAUUUUUCCCUUUGGGAGGACGUUCUAUUUGGUAAGUUUAUUGCUUCUCCAAAUGUGCUCAACACCUGCCUUAAAUAGCACAGAGACAUUGUGCAAAUCUUAAAUUAUUUUAACCAGUAAAAAAUUAUUUUACUCUAAAAUUGAGGCAUUUUACAAAAGUCAUCUAUAUUCUUUUGUAAAAUCACAAAAGUGAAUUGAAUAUAAUUGGCAACAAAAAAGAUGCUGCAUUUAAAACAUUUUUAAAAGAUUUAUUUAUUGAAAGGCAAAGUCACACAGAGAGACAGGGAUAGAUAUCGAAGUUCAUCCUCUGGUGUGCUCCCCACGCAGCCUCAGUGGCAAGCCAGGAGCUCCAUCUGGGUUCCCACGUGGGUGGCCCAAGCACUUGGGCCAUCCUCGGCUGCCUUCCAGGCACGUUGGUAGGGAGCUGGAUUGGAAGUGGAGCAGCUGGGACUCAAACCGGUGCCCACAUAGGGUGCCAGUGUCUUGAGCGGCGGCCUAACCUGCUGUACCACAUCAGCCCUUGAAUUUAAAACAUUUUAUAUAAAUAAAAUGAUAUAUUGUGGUCUUUCUUCCAAUAACUGAAGAGAUUUUUCUCCAUAUAAAUUAUCAUUUAAUCUAUACUAAAGUGUAGCUUAAACUGUCUAAAGUAAAUCCAUCAUUCUCAAUUAAGCAUGACCAUGACAGCAUUGACCUAAGUUUUUUACAAUAAAAGUUACCAUUUUUGUAAGUGAACUAUAAUUUUGUCAAAAAUAAUAUUUACCAUUCUUUGAGUUUUAUGUAUAUGUUAUUACUCUGUGUUCCAGAAAUUGUACGGAAUUUCCUGAAAUGUGAUAUGGCCUGGGGCAAUGUUUUCAGCUGUAAUUUUAGUUCUAUCAAAUACUGUGUGUGGCGUAAAGCUGUAAUGUCCCUGUGUGUUAAAGUACGUGAGCUCCUGUCAGAUCGCUCACAUGGCCGUUUUCACUCGGCGUCCACAGAAGAUGGUGUGAUCCUGAUGCUUUCCUGAAAGCCUGUGACAAUGUUUUGUCUUCAGAGAGAUUUAUGGAGAACAGUUCUGACAAAUGCAGGUUUCUGCCAAGUUGAAGACAGCGCCGGCGGAGGGAGAACAUGGUUGGUUCUGAACGUCACCAGCACCCACUAAGACUGAGGACCUGAGGAAGAACGGCUCUCCAUCAGCAGUGUGGUGCCUUUACACUUCCGUAGAGUGGAAACAUCUGUUCUCUGACAGCUCUGAUGCUGCGUGCUCUUGCCUUCCUGGCCACGCAGUUGUCCACACAGCCUCGAUAAGCGUGUGCUCUCCGUGGAACGAGGCAGUUGCAGGCGUUGCCCACCCGGCCACGUCUGUAAGGAGAAGGCUGUAUUGAAGAACGGGUGUGCGUAGACGUGCUUAGACAGGUCCACACAACUCACGCUGACGCUGGGAAGCCAGUGCUGAGGAAACUCCCGGGAGAACUGGGCUUCGAAGGUCCGGGACGUGAAGAGGAGAGAAGUCCACUGCAUUCCCCGGGUGUUGUGGGCAAAGGCAGGCAGGCUCCUUGGCUUGGCUUCCGGGCCUGGAGAGGCCCUGGGAACGCCCCACUGAGCGUCCCUGUGAGCAGCUGCCGGGCAGCAGGAGCCGCGGGGCGGGCUGGGCAGUGGCCGACCUUGCUGACUGCUGUGAGUGACAGGCGUGAUCAAGGGGACAGCCUAGGUCACAACGUGCCCUGCUGUGGCAGACACGCGUGCCCUGCAGAGGAAGAAUUCCGUCCGUGGAAAGCUGCGGUGCGCCCUGUGGGUGUCAGCGUCCAGUCCCGUCCCUUGUCCUUGGCAGCUUGGAACUGCUGGCUGACGUGUGCCCAGGUCGGGGUUGUGAGCCCUCCUCGCACACUCCUCGCACGGAAGUCACAGCAAGUCUGAUUAGAGCGCCUGGACCUGGCCACCUGGCCACCGGGCCACCAGGCCACCAGGCCAUAGCCAGGCACUCUCAGACUGCAUAUUAGGAAACACGCUUCGCGCUUACAUCUAGGAAUGUCACCAGUUCAUUGAUUUCUGGACUCAAAGACAGCUUACCGCUUCUUCUGACCACGCACAUUUGGUUGGAAAUGCUCAUGGAUGUGGUUCCUGGCGCCUCGUGCAGGAGGGUGCGUCAGCACCUUGGCAUCACCCCUGUAAGUCGCCACCGCCAUCUUCCUGUGUGCCACAGCCUCUCCAGUCUCACAUGUAUGUCCACAGCCACCACGGCAAUCCAGACGGUCUCACGGUGAUCUGAGCAACACAAGUACACGGACAAAGGAAAACACAGAUUUCCCAGUGAGCUGGAUGUCCUGACUUAUGGGCUCAUGCUGAAAAAGAGACAAACCACAGGGCGGACGCGGUGCCAUAGCAGGUAAAACUGCCACCUGCAGUGCCAGCAUCCCAUAUGGGCGCUGGUUCGAGUCCUGGCUGCUCCACUUCCGAUCCAGCUCUCUGCUGUGGCCUGGGAAAGCAGUAGAAGACGGCCCAAGUCCUUGGGCCCCUGCACCCACGUGGGAGACCUGGAAGAAGCUCCAGGAUCCUGGCUUUGAAUCAGUCCAGCUCUGGCCACUGUGGUCAUUUGGAGAGUGAACCAGCAGAUGGAAGAUCUCUCUCUCUCUCUCUCUUUCUCUCUCUCUGCCUCUCUGUAACUCUGCCUUUCAAAAAAAAUCUUAAAAAAAAAAGAGAGAGACGAACAUGAUGGUUGGGUGGGUGUGGCCGCGGUGGGUAAGUCGGCCAGCUGGGACACGUCCAUCCCUUAUCAGAGCGCCCCAGCUCAAGUGCCAGCGCUGCUUCUGACUCCAGCGUCCAGCUGCUGCACGCCGUGGGAGGCCAUGGUGAUGGUUCAAGUACCUGGUCCCUACCAUCCGUGUGGGGACGUGUGUGGCCUUGUCUGGGGCCUGCCCUGGCUGUUACAGAUUUAGAGAGUUAGCCAGAUCUGCCUGUCUCUUUUCCUUUCAAACACAUUAAAGUUAAAUAGAUACGAAAUUAAAGGCUUUAAAAAGAGAAGCUGUUUUAAAAACACAUAAAUCAAUACAUGUGAUGGUGACAGAGAAUGGCGUUGUGCAAAGGCCUGGUCGAUCUCCCCAGACCCGAGACUGACCGGUGGGGCUGGGAAACUGUUGAAGCCAAACAAGCAGCCCUUAACCUGGAGUCCUUCCUAUACCUGGAACCCCUCUGCAGGCCAAUACACUCGACUCAGAGGCGUUGCUUGCAAUUGAUUAACGUUCGGUUGGGCUGCAGCCAGUCCCAAGCAGCCACCCAGCCAACUGUUCUUGGAACUCCCAUCAGAGCAGACCCCAGCACAUGCCUGACUGUGGACUGUGGCCAACCCAGUAUGCUUUGCUUCCACAGUCAGCCCAUAGGAGCCUCCUGUUCCCACUGCUUGGGCAGAACCCAUACCAUUCUUCCAGCUGGGGUCCAAAACCACAGGGAGGCCAGGGGUCGAUUUAUGAAUCACUCUUUGCUCAAACGCACUCUUAAAUUUCAUUUGAUGUCAAGUUUUUCUUUCAACAGAGGCAAUUUGUCUAGUUUUUCUGACCAAUUGUAUAUAUCAGGGGACCUCAAAAAUUCUGUGGAAGAAGGGAAUUAAGAUAAGUUUAUUUUGUUGCAGAAACUUUUGAAAUCAUUGUUUUCAUAAUAUGCAUUUCCAUGAGUGUUUUGCAGAUCCCGUGUUGGGGGUGGGGAGGGAAAGAAGAGGGGUGGGGGCAGAGAAAAGCAGAGAUCCUUCGUCUGCUGGCUUACUCCCCGUAUGCCCCCAGUGGUCCUCACCUGGGAUCCAGGAACUCAGUCCAGGUGUCCCCUGUGGAUGGCAGGGACCCAAGCACUUGCGCCAGCCCCUUGCCUCCCAGAGCACACUUUAGCAGGAAGCUGGAAUUGGGAGCAGAGCCAGGACUUGGAUCCAGGCACCCAAUGUGGAGUGUCGGCGUCCCAAGCAGCGUCGUAACUGCUGCACCAACGCCUGCCCCCGUGGACUUGUGGACGGCAGAGAGCCUGCUUCCGCCCCUGUGUCUGCACCCGGCACUCGCCGGCUCAGGACCGACACUGACUCACGUACAAUGCCUGCAUUUAGCCAUCACCUCCUGCAGAAUUUCUUCCUGCGGCUAUUGCCCAGAUGAAAGGAAGCGGAGGGCAAUGCGGUGAUGGGGAUUCUGCUGUAUCUGCUAAAUCCUUUAGUGGGUCGCAGUUCAAGAAUGCAGCCCUGGAUUUAAAAAGAAGAAGGCACAUAAAUCAGUGGUAAAUGCAGGUUGUGAUGCAGGAUUUUGGUUGGAAGACAAAUGCUUGGCCAGUGAGUACGAGGCGGCUGGAGCUGGCUGCCCACUCCCCUCGCUGCCUGAGUUCUGCUCUGGGAGCCCAGAAAGCAGUGCGGUUUGCUUGAGGUUCUGCUCCGUAGCAAUUCCUCAGCACAGAAGUGGCAGCACGUCUGUCGAGAACCACUUGUAAUAGUCCCCCGUUUCUCACAAAGCUCUGUGAGGCACACGUGGCUAUUUAUGGCAACAAGACGCCAGCGUGUCCGCUGGUCACCUGGUGCGACCUCAGUGAGACCCCGAUUCGCUGUGAUGAGCGUCGGUUGCUGACUCCUGGCCUCUUGGGAGGAGGGGGUCGGGGCAGAUGGCUCCUGCCGGUGGGCUCCCCAUGCUCCAGGGCCCUGAGGCCACCACCAAGCCUGUAUGCAGAUGAGAUGCCCAGCCGUGGGGCGCACACAGUGUGCUUGUGCGUCUGUGGGACCAUCACCUGAACUCUCCACGCAGUAGAUACACAGCCUUAUUUUCAAGAUUUUAAUUUGUUCUUUAGAAAUUGGCUGAACGGUUAGAGUAAGUCAUUCCCAUAAUGAUCAAAAUAAAGGAAAUUAACAUGGAAAAUCAGUCACGCCAGCG